CACGCACCAAAAGACGGGCAGCGGAUCGAGCCACGUCAUCCGCUAACCCUCUAGCCGUCGGAUCCAGCCAAGACACAAUAUAAGCCGUCCGAUCGGGGUCAUAGUGGGUCUAUCACCCAUUAAGCUGUCAACCCGGAUGGUGGCGAACCCGCUCGCGGGCGACUCGGCCUCUCCGGCCUCCGCCGCCGCCUCCCUUAUCCUCCGGGCGCCCGCGGGCGGGGUGCAGUGGCCCGGGGUGCGGGCGCCACGGGCACGGUGUUCACGGCCAUCCCGGCGGUCCGGAACUGGUGAGGGCGCCAGCGGCCAGGGCGACCCAGCGCAGGCAGGAUUGCGGGCGCGGCGGCCCCGGCAGCUGCAAUGCCGGAUAUCCAGGCGCGGGCAAGGACCCCACCAGCCCUUGCGACCCUGGCGCGGCCGGUGAUGCGGGCGUGGCGGCUCCGGUCACCUCGCAGCUGGCGGCCCGGCGCCGGUGUACGUCUACCCCACGUGCCUCCUCACCAGCCCGCCCCGCGCGCAGGGGACACCAUGAGGUCGUGAUGCCGCGGCUAGGAAGUGUGGCCGCGGCCAGGUCCGCGCCAGGCUCCUCCCUUGCAGCGGCGACCUCAAGGAACAGCACCGGCAUGGUGCCUGCGUAUGCUCAACAGCCGCACAUAAGGUGCUCGGCAAAAUUCCACUUCUGUUUGUUGAGAAAAAUUAGCAACCUUCUGCCUCCUUGUUCAAUUCCCCACUCUAUCCCUCAUUCAAUCGACAAUGGGAAGUCGUGGUGAGAUGAGCCUAAUCACACAUGCUUUGAAAGAAUAUUUUGCUCUGCUGCUAGAAGUUAGUUAGGGCAGCACUAGCAAGUAGCAACCUCCCUUUGAUUCCUUGCUGCAAUAACUUGAAGGUAGUUUCAGUGCCUAAAUCAUAUUCAGUUGCUCUCAGAGAAAUACUCGUGCAUUCUUUUUUGAAUAUAAUGCUUAAUUUUAAUUUGCAAGAAUAUGACAAAGUUGGUAGCAACCUCCCUUUAGUUCCUUGCUGCAAUAACCUGAAGGUAGCUUCAGUGCCUAAAUCAUAUUCAGCUGCUCCCAGAGAAAUACAAUGCUUAAUUUUAUUUUGCAAGAAUAUGACAAAGUUACUCAAUUAGUAGAACCUUUUGCCCUGUGCGCCGCCUGCACUCUUGGUCCUUCCACAUCAUACCACCUCCAAAGUAGCUAUUCUCGCAGGGCGAGGUCGCCGCCGAGCUCCUUGGCAACUUGCGUCACCUCCACGGCAGAUGGCCCGCGGGAACCAUACAGCACGUGAAAAGGACGUUGCACAUCAGUACUCCACUGCUGAGUUCUGACUCGAUGCAAAUUUUGGGUAUCGGUACAAGACACAAGACGACCGUGAUCUUUUACACUGGAUGCUCCGCAGAUCAAACAAUACUAUAUGGUUUGACUUCGGUAAGGAGGAGCUACUGCAUCAGCUACAGCCUACAAGUGCAAAGGUAAUCUUCUGAAAUUUGAAUGGAGGUUUUGUAGAACAAAGUAUAGACUAUUUUCUCGGCCUUCAUGUUUUAAAUGAACAGAUAAAUUAGCUGAUAGAACAAAAUUGCAAAGGAAUAGUAGUCCAUGGUGAAAUUCACUCAUCUUUGCUUCGUAAUUGGUGAGUAUACUACAUAAUGCUGUGCAUUGCACAUUUUCAGCCAUGAACAUGUUCGAUCAACUGAUUUCUACUAUGUUAUGGUAGUAGAAAGAAAACAAAGUAAUUGUGCAAGGCCAGCCCA